GCCUGACGGUUCAAUUCUCCGGUGUCAGUACUACGCCCUUCCAACCAAAGAUUGCCUCUUUGAAGACCCUCUACAUGAUGGCAAGACAAUGCUUAAAAUUUGGAACCUCAACAAGGUGAGAAAUCAAACUGAAAACCAUGUUAGAACGCUCAUUUUGGGCUUGAUGGGCCUAUAAAUAUUUAAUAAGAUUGAUUAAUCAAACUGAAAUCAAUGUCAGAAAAACUCAUUUUAGGCUUGUUUUGGCAUAUAAAUGUUUGAUCAAAUUGAUUUCUUUGGAUUGCAAUAGUUUACAGGAGUUAUAGGGGCAUUCAAUUGCCAAGGAGGGGGUUGGUGUAAGGAGACAAGAAGGAAUAAAUGUGCCUCUCAAUUUUCUCACAAGGUAACUGCCAAGACCAAUGCUAAAGACAUUGAAUGGAAGAGUGGCAAGAACCCAAUCUCCAUUGAAGGAAUCCAAGUUUUUGCCAUGUAUUUGUCCCAAGCCAAGAAGCUAGUCCUCUGCAACCCAAAUGAAAACAUUGAAAUAGCUCUAGAGCCAUUCCAUUUUGAGCUUGUCACUAUUUCUCCAGUCAACAUCAUAGCAGAAAAAUCAAUUCAAUUUGCACCUAUUGGCUUGGUGAACAUGCUAAACACUGGUGGUGCAAUCCAGUCAUUGGCCUACAAUGAUUCCAACCGAUCGGUCCGAAUUGGGGUGAAAGGUGCUGGAGAAAUGAGGAUCUUUGCUUCUGAAAAGCCAAGAGGCUGCAGAAUUGAUGAAAAAGAAGUUGGAAUUGAGUAUGAGGAGUGCAUGGUUGUUGUUCAAGUACCAUGGUCCGCUUCUUCUGGUGUGUCUAUGGUUGAGUAUUUGUUUUAGUGCUAGAUUUUAAUUAGGAGCUUGAUGACAUAUUGUUCUCCCCAAAACUAUAAGAAAGUGAGUAAUUGUAUAGCAUUAAAUUCUUUUUUUAAUGUAAAAUCAAAACAGUUAAGUGACAUGGUA
rnacentral:misc_RNA from 1 species